rnacentral:misc_RNA from 1 species
GAGCCAUUGAUUGAUGUUGAAGUACCUUUCAUUGUUGUGGUGUUUAGUGAUUCACCUUGCUAAUUGUUCCCUUGGCGUGAGUGUUUCCCCAUGCUGGUUCAUGUCAUCCACCUCACGACUCACCACACACUUGCCUCGCGAUACACUCCACUUAUCCACACCAUUUUAGGCCUUGCUUCACUAACUCAUUGCCUGCAUGUUGAGUAGUGAUAAUAUUAACAACAACAAUAAUAUAAGUAAUAAUUAUAAUGACUUACUAUUAUAAUAAGUGAUAACAAUAAUCUCAUCCUGUGGUCAGAAGCUAUUUAGAGCAUCAUGAUACCCUCUGGUUGUUACUCUCAGUGUUGUUGUUGUUAUUAUUAUUAUUGACAUUAUUAUUAGUGUUACUCCCGCAGGCUUGUUGACCUUGACAGAGAUACAAGCCACACAAAAUGCAACAUUUUAAAGGAGAAGUCACACAUUUCUCAGUAAUUUCUUAACUAAGGCCAUCAGAGAGAGAGAGAGAGAGAGAGAGAGAGAGAGAGAGAGAGACGAGACGAGACGAGACAAGACAGAGAUUGAAAGAUAGACAGACAGACAGACAGAUACAGACAGAUGGAUAGACACACACACACACACACAUUCCAGAAGGUAGUGGUAGGCUAUGGUGGUCGUGGAUGUGUGUGGGCGUGUUCAUGUGGUGUUUGGCGUCCUAGUGGGUGGUGGUUAGCGUAUAUGAGGUAUUAAGAGGCUUGCCCAUUUGCCUCACCGCUUCCUGGGAUUCGAACCCGGACUCUCGAUUGUGAGUCGAGCGUGCUAACCACUACAUUACGGGUGUGUGUGUGUUGGGGGCGGUGUUGGGGUGUGUGUAUGCGCUGUGUUCCUGACAGGGUGUUUUGUGGUGUUGCAGUUGCCUGAAGUGGUGUCAGGGGCCUAACGCCAUCUACUACCAGGAGGCGGCGGAGCUGGCUGUGGGCUACCGCUGCUCCUGCCGGCACAGCAUGGGCGGGCCGCAGUGCAGCAUUGUCACGGUAGUGGUGGGCAGCGUGGCGCGACCAAGCACCGAGGCGGAGGCCAUGUCGGCGGGCCAGGUGGUGCUGGUGGUGGCGUUCAGCACCGCUAUGCCCGUGGUGGUGGUGGAAUUGGUGUUGGUGAUCGUGUGCAUGAAGCGGAAACGCGUACGUGACUGCCCGUGUCGGGAUGAGGAGGCGCGGCGUCAGAACGAGCAGAACAUGGUGCACAACGCUGUGGGCGCCGUCAACACUGUCUGGACCACCACAUGAUCCACUCCCUAAACUUCCCCAUCAAGAAACCCCUCAACACCCUGCCACCGCCUCCCCUUGCAUCACCCACACCACACCCACCUCCACCACCAUCACCUCACGACCACGGCUACAAGAAUCCCGCGGAGAACGUAUACUCCGCAGUGGCCAUGCGCACCAGCAGGACUCAACGAGGAUGUGUCGUGGCUCUCGCUGGCUGACCGCCUCCACAAGGACAUUGAGCCCCCGCCCAGCGCCCGCGUCACGCCCACCUCGGACUCCACCGCCCCAUGCAAGGUGUUCCGGAAUUCCUUCCUGCCGCGCACAUACACCCACAGAGAGAUGGACAGCGCUAUCAGGUACAGGAUUUGCGAUGACAACGGCUGGGAGUGUGCGGCUUGGACCCACUCGCCCUUACUUGCCAAGCGUCACUUCAAGACAUGUAAACUGAGCCGCCACCACCAGUCCAGAGGGUGAAGCACAGUGAGCGUUCCUGUAGGGUGAAGCAAUGAUGACACCCAGCGUUACCAGUCAGCGAGGCCUGCAAUCAAGCGACCGCCGGCAGAGAGAGGAGCCUUUCCCUGGAAUUUUGACGAGUACCUUGUUGAAGCAGCGAGCAGAGACAGCGUUGGAAAGUGGACUAGUACAGUUUGACCAGAGUCCAACAUUGCACCAGGAUUAAGUGUCCAGGGAUGAAGUGAUACACGUGUGCAGAGGUGCCAGGAGGACGGACGGACGGACAUCAGCCAACAGCCAUCAGCCAUCAGGAGAGCGUGGCGGGAAACACACCACUGUGUAGCUUUCACACGGCUCACAGUUUCCACUCACUCUGGCGGUAGAUGUGGUGUGUGGGGAGGGAGGGUAGGAGAGGACGCAGCCGCUUGCACCUGGAGGAACGUGUGUGUGUGUGUGUGUGUGUUUGUGAGAAGAAGAUUACUAUUCGUGAUAUUUUGAUGUAUGCAUUUAUUAAACUGAGCUGGAACAUU